UGAGCGUUAACUUUUAUCUUACACUUUGGGAACUCAGAUAUACUGCUGCUUCCUAGCCUUUGAAAACUAUAUAGAUACAUUCUUUUCUUUUUCCAGAGCAGUGCAGUAAGAGGAAGAAAUAUCGAGUACACAGGUGUGGUACUGAUGAAUCAGUUGUACUGUUUUUGGACUGAACUGAUGCCUCUAGGUAGACUGGAGCACAUUCUAUUUCACUACUUGCACAUGUAUUAACUCAAUCCUCUAAUUUUUAUGGAGGUAUUGUUGAACACAAACGCACAAGCCAAAAGUAAACCUGGAAAAAGGAAGGCUCUGCUGCGAGAAUGUUAAACAAAUUUGAAAUCUCUGUUAAUGCAUCAUCUUUGAGACACAGUCAUUGACUGCAUUUUCAGCAUAUUCCUUCACUUUGGUUCAGUUUCCUUUCCAGUUGAACACACAGUUGACUCUGUCUACUCAGUGAUAGUCGGUUUGUGGCUGAAAAUCUGUUGCUCUUGGUGUUGCUGGUGUUUACAUCUUUCUUUCUGUAUUGAGUUGGGACUAAUACUAAUCAUUUGCUGUCAGGACCUUCAUUUUUAUGCCACUCAUUUUAUAAAGUAAGGGCAAAUGGCCACUGAAAUAUUCAGUGAUUAAACAAACUCAAACAAAGAUGGCAGCAGAACUGCUGAUCAGUGGCUAGCCAGCCCUGUGGUCCCUGUCAGUGUUCAUUUGGAGUGGAUUCAGAUUAAGGAAGGUAGCUAAGCAUGGGUCCCCAUUCUUCUGUUUACAUGUUGCCAUAAGGGAAUUUCUGAGCACACACCUGUAAGUGUAUGAUGAGUUAAAUACAUGUGCUAGUAUACUGGUAUACUAGGUAUAUCCUAAAACACAAAAUAAGCUUCUUAUGAGGAGAAUUUUUUUCCUUCAACAAAUUUCUUUUAGUAUAUGUGCUGCCGAAGCGAGCACUCCUUCAACAAAUUUCUUGUUCACCCCAAGGGUAAAUACACCCCAUUCAGAGAACCUUAAGUUAGUGGUAUCAUUAAAUAAUGUUAGAGGAAUAGGUUUAAGAAGGGUGACAUAGGACCUUGUUUGAAAUGCUACAUUUUUUCAAGUGUGUCCCUUGUCUCCUUUGAUGUUUUAUUUCUGCCAGUUGUUGACUUGAAGUUGACCCAGUGUAUUAUGAAGGAAAAUAAAAAAAAACAGAAACAAGCCCUGAAAGGUUGUUGGUUCGGCAUGCAGGAGGGGCAGCGUAUCGAUGUUUCACUCUCACAUCAAUGUUUCUCUCCCUCUACCUUCUUUUUCUAAAAGUCAAUAAACUAUUUUUUUAAAAAAAUUUUACUUUAAAAAAUAAAAGAAAUCCCUUGGACCCAAGGCAGCAGGGCAAGAAAAUACCAUUGAGAGGCAGUAGACUUUGAAACGCAUGGACUCAACCACUAUAGCUCUGGAUAUGAGUGGGCAAUGUAUUUGCUGUGUGACCUUGGAAAGUUAAUUUCUCCAAACUUCAGUUUCCUCCCUCCGAAGUAGCUUGUGAAAAUUAGCUGAAAUUGCAUUAACUACUUACAAGUAUUUAGAACAACGCCUGGUGCACUGCAGGGAAGAAGUAAGUGAUGAUGAUUAGAAUAGUUGAAUGUCUAUUAUGUGCCAGGUGUCCUUGAGGGAGAUACUGUGUUCAGUCUCUAUAGUAACCCAGGUAUGUGGGUAUUUUAAUUUGAGGAACCUGAGAAAUUCAAUAUUCUGGUCUGGAUCAGAACUGGUCUUCAAAUUCAGGUCUGAGUCUAGCCCAUAGCUCUCAACCACAUCAUGGGCCUGCCCCAGGUGAGAUUGCCCAGUCCAGAGUGGGCUUAAAAAAUGUUAAAAAAAAAUUUUUUUUUUUUUUAAUGAAUGACACAGGCAAGUGGCAGAGAAUGCUUGUGAGUCCUUUGAGAGAAAAGUAAGUCUUUGUUCUUUUUUUUGAUGGGAUGGAGCUGACCAGCAUUCCCACCAGGGUCUGGUACACAUCCCCCUCCUAAGCACUGCCCCCAGCCCAAUCCAUGGCUGUUGCUUCCCCAGGUCAGCAGCUGGUUUCCUGGGUCAAUUUGAUCACACUUGGACCUUCCAUCCUCUCUAGCUGUUAAGAAGAGGGCUGUGGGUGUGGUUAGGGUGAUCAGGGUUGUGCCCCCACUAAACAAUGGAACUGGGAUGUGGCUAAGCUUCAGGGCAGCAUGUCAGUCUAGACCUCAGUACUAGGGAGCUGGCUAUCUGGGCUGUAGAAGGUCAUUUCCCUCCAUUUCUAUUUCUUCCACUCCCCCCACUUAGUU